rnacentral:rRNA from 1 species
ACCUGCGGAAGGAUCAUUAUCGUACAAAAUGUGUGAGGCAUGCGAGGGCUGUAGCUGACUCAAAGUCGUGCACGCCGGAGUGUGUCCUCUCACAUAACAAUCCAUCUCACCCUUUGUGCACCACCGCGUGGGCACCCUCCGAUCUCGGAGGGGGCUCGCGUUUUCACACAAAACCCCCCCUUUAAAAAGUGUAGAAUGACCUCAUUUAUGCAAUCAAUACAACUUUCAACAACGGAUCUCUUGGCUCUCGCAUCGAUGAAGAACGCAGCGAAAUGCGAUACGUAAUGUGAAUUGCAGAAUUCAGUGAAUCAUCGAAUCUUUGAACGCACCUUGCGCCCCUUGGUAUUCCGAGGGGCACACCCGUUUGAGCGUCGUGAAAAUCUCAACCUCCUUUGUUUCUUCCGGGGACCAAAGGAGGCUUGGACUUUGGAGGUUUUUGCUGGCGUCUUUGGAAGGCCAGCUCCUCUUAAAUGAAUUAGCGGGGUCCUCUUUGCCGAUCCUUGACAUGUGAUAAGAUGCUUCCGUGUC